rnacentral:rRNA from 1 species
UACGUAGGCGGAAAAUUAAGUCAGUAGUGAAAUCCUGCAGCUUAACUGUAGAACUGUUAUUGAUACUGGUUUUCUUGAAUUUAGUUGAGGUAGGCGGAAUGUGUAAUGUAGCGGUGAAAUGCUUAGAUAUUACACAGAACACCGAUUGCGAAGGCAGCUUACUAAACUAUGAUUGACGCUGAGGUACGAAAGCGUGGGGAGCGAACAGGAUUAGAAACCCUGGUAGUCC